UACGUAGGAAGCAAGCGUUGUCCGGAAUUACUGGGCGUAAAGCGUGCGUAGGUGGUCUGUUAAGUCUGAUGUGAAAGCCCUGGGCUCAACCUGGGAAUUGCAUUGGAUACUGGCAGGCUAGAGUGCGGUAGAGGAUGGCGGAAUUCCCGGUGUAGCAGUGAAAUGCGUAGAGAUCGGGAGGAACAUCUGUGGCGAAGGCGGCCAUCUGGACCAGCACUGACACUGAGGCACGAAAGCGUGGGGAGCAAACAGG
rnacentral:rRNA from 1 species